rnacentral:rRNA from 1 species
AGCUCCAAUAGCGUAUAUUUAAGUUGUUGCAGUUAAAAAGCUCGUAGUUGGAUUUCGGGCGUGGAGGUUCGGUCCGCCGUUUCGGUGUGCACUGUCUGUCUGCGUCUUUCUGCCGGGGACGCGCUUCUGGCCUUAAUUGGCUGGGACGUGGAUUCGGCGAUGUUACUUUGAAAAAAUUAGAGUGUUCAAAGCAAGCUAAAGCUCUGAAUACAUUAGCAUGGAAUAACGCGAGAGGACUCGGUCCUUAUUUUGUUGGUCUUCAAGGAUUGAGUAAUGAUUAAGAGGGACAGUUGGGGGCAUUCGUAUUUCAUUGUCAGAGGUGAAAUUCUUGGAUUUAUGAAAGACGAACUUCUGCGAAAGCAUUUGCCAAGGAUGUUUUCAUUGAUCAAGAACGAAAGUA